UACGGAGGGGGCUAGCGUUGUUCGGAAUUACUGGGCGUAAAGCGCACGUAGGCGGCUUUGCAAGUUAGAGGUGAAAGCCCGGGGCUUAACCCCGGAAUUGCCUUUAAAACUGCAUCGCUAGAAUUGUGGAGAGGUGAGUGGAAUUCCGAGUGUAGAGGUGAAAUUCGUAGAUAUUCGGAAGAACACCAGUGGCGAGGGCGACUCACUGGACACAUAUUGACGCUGAGGUGCGAAAGCGUGGGGAGCAAACAGG
rnacentral:rRNA from 1 species